UACGUAGGGGGCAAGCGUUGUUCGGAAUUACUGGGCGUAAAGGGCGCGUAGGCGGCACGACAAGUCGGGAGUGAAAGCCCGGGGCUCAACCCCGGAGGGUCUCUCGAAACUGUCGAGCUAGAGUGCGGAAGAGGCAAUCGGAAUUCCCAGUGUAGCGGUGAAAUGCGUAGAUAUUGGGAAGAACACCGGAGGCGAAGGCGGGUUGCUGGGCCGACACUGACGCUGAGGCGCGAAAGCUAGGGUAGCAAACGGG
rnacentral:rRNA from 1 species